UACGAAGGGUGCAAGCGUUACUCGGAAUUACUGGGCGUAAAGCGUGCGUAGGUGGUUUGUUAAGUCUGAUGUGAAAGCCCUGGGCUCAACCUGGGAAUUGCAUUGGAUACUGGCAAGCUAGAGUGCGGUAGAGGAUGGCGGAAUUCCCGGUGUAGCAGUGAAAUGCGUAGAGAUCGGGAGGAACAUCUGUGGCGAAGGCGGAUCUCUGGGCCGUAACUGACGCUGAGGAGCGAAAGCAUGGGGAGCGAACAGG
rnacentral:rRNA from 1 species